UGCAGGCUCAGUGCCCAUGGCUCACGGGCCCAGCCGUUCCGCGGCAUGUGGGAUCUUCCUGGACCGGGGCACUAACUCAUUAAGGCAUAAUCACACCUGGAGCCUUUCGUGAGAGAAGCUCCUCUUUAAAAAGGCAAACACUUAACCGCAGCCGUCGGUCAGUUGUGCCUUAGAGAGAUUCCUCUAACCUCCCCCAAGAGGGUCAACACCGAGAGCACGACUGCUUGGAAAAGGAAUCAGGGCACCAGAAAAGUAACUCUGAGGAUGGAGAUGUGGAUUUGGCUGACGUGGAAACCUCGAGGCAGGCCGGCGCCCGGGAGGCCGGGGUCAGGGCCGCGA